GAUGAACGCUAGCGGCAGGCCUAAUACAUGCAAGUCGAACGGCAAGUUGAGUAGCAAUACUUGACCUAGAGUGACGUACGGGUGCGUAACACGUAUGCAACCUACCCUUUACAGGAGGAUAGCUCGGGGAAACCCGGAUUAACCCUCCAUAAUAUAAUUGGAUGGCAUCAUUUGAUUAUUAAAACUCCGGUGGUAAAGGAUGGGCAUGCGUCUGAUUAGUUAGUUGGCGGUGUAACGGACCACCAAGACGAUGAUCAGUAGGGGAACUGAGAGGUUGAUCCCCCACACUGGCACUGAGAUACGGGCCAGACUCCUACGGGAGGCUG
rnacentral:rRNA from 1 species